rnacentral:lncRNA from 1 species
GUGGUUUCCAGGGGCAUUUUUGUAAUUGUUGGAUAUUGUUUUGAGUACAUUGCCUUGGUGGUUGUCCAGUGGUGGAGAUCGUAUUAGUGAUCGGAGCAGCUUGGGUUAUCUGUUCAGUCGGCAGUUUCGAGGUGAGUUAUCCUCACUAUAUCAACAGGGUCUAAGGCACCAAGGCCGGCCCUUAUCGGUUUGAGAUCCGGGUAUUUGUUGUUAUGUUAUUGCUUUGAUAUGUUGCAUCCUGGUAGCUAGGAUGGUAUGUGUUAGAGACCUGGUUGAGAUCGGUAUUCUGAGAUGUAGGGUGAUGCUAUGCUAGUGACCGGUUAGGUCGGUAUCCUGGUUAGGAUGAUGAUAUGUUAUGUGAUCUGUUUGAUCGGUUUGUUGACUAUGAAUUGUNNNNNNNNNNNNNNNNNNNNNNNNNNNNNNNNNNNNNNNNNNNNNNNNNNNNNNNNNNNNNNNNNNNNNNNNNNNNNNNNNNNNNNNNNNNNNNNNNNNNNNNNNNNNNNNNNNNNNNNNNNNNNNNNNGAGGGCAGACCAGACGUGCCGAGGCUCGGAGAGUGGACCAGGCCGACUGAAGGCCCGGUGCGGGCGGACCAGUCAUACAGUAGACUUAGAGAGUGGACCAGGCGGAUUAAAGGACCGGUGAGGGCGGACCAAUCACACUACAAACUCGAGGUUUAUGGCUACACUCAGAGGGUGGACCAGGUGGACUGUUGGCCGGUGCGGCGGACCAGUCACACAGUAGACCCGAGGUGCAUGGCUGUUCUGUGAUCGGANUUAUGCGUGUAUGGUAUAUGUGGUUGGUAUUUUGGGGAUAUCUCACUAAGCUUUCGGGCUUACAGUUGUGGUUUUAUGUUUUUCAGGUUCUUCAGGAGACCGUGGCAAGGCGAAGGCGUGAUCGUACCGCUCCUCGUGUUUAUGUUGUGAUGAGAUUCUGGGAAUACUUAAAAUAAAUUGUAUUGAAAACCUUUUUGUAAUAACUUUAAUGGAAUCGGGUUGUUUUCGAAAAUUUUAAAUUGGUUGAAAUUUUUGGUCGUUACAAGUUGGUAUCAGAGCCUUGGUUUGAGUGAAUUGGAGGAACACUCGUGUGACUCCAGUCUCAAAUCGAGGAGAGUUUUCAAAAGAGAAUUUAAAAUGGUUUUCAAAAUGAGUAAAGGAGGACGCGGAGGUACGAUCAGCCGGAGCCAGUAAGUAACCCCAAAAUACCAUACAUGAUAUUUGUUUUUGAGCUUUGAUAGAACAGCAUGCUAGUGUUAGGCUAGGGAUCUUCAGGAUUUCAUGAUAAUGCUGCCUGAUUGUGAUGCCUGUAGCCUAGGGUUCCUUGUUGGAGAUUUCCAGUGUUCCUCUAGUGGUAAGGGUUGAGCGCUUGUUUGUAUGUUUUCACUAGGGUGCUGUGGUAGUACUUCAUAGAAAUAUGGGUAGGUGUGGAAGGUAGUAUGGGCCCGUACUACUGAAAGCACAGGACCCAUACGCGUAUCAGGGAAACCAUGACCUCUAGGGUUGGGUUGAGAGUUGGUUCCCGGGUUAGUGGGAAGUGUCUGAGAUUUUGUGGUGUUUUUCAGUAUGGAGAUUCCGAGGCAUGCUGGGAGUGGAUCCAGGUCAGGAUCGGGAGCAGGAGAGGGAGUUCCGGGCAGGUCAGUACCGCCUGAGGUUAUUGGUCAGAUGAGCACAUGCGAGUUAGAUGUGAGGAUUCGUGAGAUCCUGCGUGAUGAGAUUGCUGCAUUGUUCCAGGCUGAGUUGCCGGAGCUGUUCGGGUCAAUUAAGACCGCCAUGGUUGAGUAUUUUGAUGAGCGCUAUGCAGCUCUCACAGAGACGGCUGCCGCGGCGGCUACUGCGGCUGUAGCAGCGGCAGGGGGACGAGCUGGUCGGGGCUUUCAGUAUCGGGACUUCGAUAAUACGAAGCGUCCCACCUUUGAUGGAGUUCAGGACCCGAUUGUUGCUAUGGGAUGGUUAUCGGACUUGGAAGGGUGUUUCUUCACGUGUUCAUGCCCUGCUGAUCAGAGGGUGAGGUGUGCUCUGAACCUGUUGAGGCUCGGGGCGAAGGAUUGGUGGAGGUUGACCACGGGGGCAUAUUUCGAUGCGCAGAGGGCUGCGGUUUCAUGGGAUCAGUUCAGAGAGAUGUUCAGCACUCGUUAUGUUCCGCAAGUUGAGAGGGAGAGAUUGGCUCAGGAGUUCCUUGAGCUGAAGCAGGGUUCGGAGUCGGUGACUGAGAUCACCAGGAUGUUCACUGAGAGGGCGAUGUUUUGCCCAGAGUUCGCUUCGGAGCAGGCUCAGAUGUCUCGAUAUCUGAGCAUGCUCAAGAGGGACAUCAGACAGUUUGUGUCUGCGCAGAGGUGCGAGACCUUGUUGGAGUUGCAGGAGGCCGCUAGGCGGCGUGAGUUAGAGAUUGAGUUGCAGUUGCGUGAGCUGAGGCAGGCUCCGGUGCAGUCGCAGCCGGCGCCGAAACGGUCCAAGACCGUUGAUGUUAGAGUGGGGGAUCUGAGCAGCCACACUUGUGGGAAGUGUGGGAGGGGUCACACCGGAGUUUGUAGGUUCGGUGGUGCAUGCCGCAAGUGCGGAAAGGAGGGGCACUAUGCGAGGGAUUGUCGGCAGUCAGCGUCGGUUCGGGAUUUGAGGAUUUGUUAUCAUUGUCAUCAGGUUGGAAAUUUGAGGGUCACCUAUCCACAGCUCGUUGCAGGACCGGUGCAGGCUCCAGCACCAGCCACUUUGAGGAUCACAGGUAGAGGUCACGAUGGAGCGGAGCCCCCAAGGGCUCAGGGUCGGGCUUAUCAGCUUGCGGCAGAGGAGGUCAGAGCAGUGUCGGAUGCAGCUGCGGGUAUGUUUCUUUCUUGAUGUCUUGUUAUCUUGUGAUUACUGUGGUGUAUUGUUUAUGUGCUGGUAUCUUUGUGUGGUUUUCGAUGCGAUAUUCAUCGUAUUUGAGGGUUGUGGUUUGGUUAUGGGUUAUUGUAUUGGGAAUUUCGUUGGUUAUCAUUCAUGAGGGUUGUUAGUGGAAACCUGGCAUUGGUUUGAAGGCUGGGUAGCAUCUGUUUUCUGAGGAGUGGUUAGAUGCAGAUUGAGUUUCUUUCGAGCGGGUUAAUCAGUGCUGAUAUGGGAUCUUGUUAAGGUUGUUUAUGCUUGUGGGAAUCAGUCUGCGUGUAAGUGUUGGUUUUGUGUAGAGUUGUUCUGGGAGGUCGGUGAUGGCGACUGGUGGAUUGUUAGUCAGUACCCUAAGUGGGGGAGAAUUGGAAAAUUCUCCGGAAGAUCGAUGAGCAUGUGAGGUUGCUUAGCUGUUUGGGAUUCAGCAGUGUCCUGUCAGUCCAGAGUGUAGGCUGGUAUUUGAUUGUGGAAGUAUUUGAGUUUUUGUGGUGAUUUUCAGUAUGGAGAUUCCGAGGCAUGCUGGGAGUGGAUCCAGGUCAGGAUCGGGAGCAGGAGAGGUAGUUCCGGGCAGGUCAGUACCGCCCGAGGUUAUUGGUCAGAUGAGCAUAUGCGAGUUAGAUGUGAGGAUUCGUGAGAUCCUGCGUGAUGAGAUUGUUGCAUUGUUCUAGGCUGAGUUGCCGGAGCUGUUUGGGUCAAUUAAGACCGCCAUGGUUGAGGCCGGGAUCGAGUAUGUAUGAUGAUGAUAGAGUUCGGAACCCCUAGAGGGCUAGAACAGUAUGCAUGGGAGGAUUUCCCAGAGAGAUAGCUCAGAAUGAUGGAUGUUAGUUGAGCGGUCUGGAUAGACUGAGNGUUGAGCGGUCCAGAUAGACUAAAGGCCGGUAGGCGUACCAUUCAGGCCGAAGGCUCGGAGAAAGGUCCAGCAAAACUCAAGGCACUGAGAGCGAUCCAGAUUGGCUGAAGGUUCUAAGAGUGGUCCAGAUUGGCUGAAGGUAUUGUUGGAUCGGUUUGAGGAUAUGGAUUGUGUAUGUUGCAGUGUGAUACCAUUAGAAGGUUUGGCCCCGGGUAGUGAUCUUGAUUAGUUGAGAUAGUGCAUGGGCUUGAGAGUCCCUGCGAUUAGAUUUAGAGUAUGUGUGUUGGAUGGAUAGCGGUUACGCUAUGAAGGAGUGGUGUAGCGUUGGGCGAGCACCGUGGCACUUGUCGGAGCGACAAGGCGGCCAAGUGGAUUUCCUUGGUAAAGGAAAGAAAGAGGAGUGUAACUCCAAGAGGGAGUGCGAAUUCACGAAAGUGGACGGCAGAGCAGAGUUAUGAUUAGAGUGAUCCGAGUAUGGUUAUCGAGCAACGUGUUUGCGGCAGUGGAAUGGAAGCACAUCCGGUUUGGGAUGUCUGUUGAGGUCGCGGAAGGAAUUCCGCAGGUGUAGAGCCAAGAGGCUUGGAAGGGAUGCAGGGAAGGAGUCUUGGGCUCUCAUUGUGAUUCUGAUCAGGGAAUUGUGUAUGUAGUAGUGGUUCAUCCUGGGGGAUGUAUGUCAUCAGUGUAUCGGGUUUUCCCAACCUGAGGGUGCUAGAGCUAGUUCAACAUGUGUAAGUGAUUACAAGAGGAGAACUCAUGGGAGUUGCUCUGAAGAAUGUGUCUUUCUGUCAGCAGAAUGAUUAGAGUUGGACUCGGAUCAGGAAUCCGGUGGUGCAUAGUUAUUUUCUAGCUCAUAUGGGUCGAGUGAUGGUUGUGAUUUGGAGCAGUGUUACAUCGUGAGUAGUACUCAGUUGUGAAGUGGAGUUAUCAGAGAAUAAAGCCGGUGGCCGGCUCGAGAGGGUGGUCAGGAUACCAUAAGGAUGGAGAAAGUGAGUUUCUGGUUCUAUGGUUGUGUUUUGAGGAACCGGGUUGGGUUAAUGCCAAGUGAUGCGUGACAGGAGUAUUUCUAAGAGUUGAGUUGUUACAGGCUUCGAGGGCGAAGCCUAAUGUAAGUGGGGGAGAAUUGUAACAUCCCGGAAUAGCAAGGGUAAAGUUGAAGGGCUAAAAGAGUAAUAUGGGAGAGAGCGACUCGGCGAGUCCACGAGUGGACUCGGCGAGUAGGGUCGCGACUCUAGUCGCGUGUUAAGUGACCAACUCGGCGAGUAGCAUGGGUGGACUCGACGAGUUGGUGCUGAGUGGAGAAAACCCUAAAUCCGGAGGUUGAGCCCUAUAUAAAGAACAUUAUGUUUCCACCCCAGCCUCCUUAUCAUCCCUUGAGUUCCAGAAACCCUAAUUUCAUGAAGAAACCCCAUUGUUGAGUGAAUUGGAGCUUGGAGAGGUGGUUGUUGAAGAGAUCUUGAAGGAAAAGAGACUUGGAUCAUAGGGCUUUGCAAGGAUUCGGGUUAAUCUCCUCUUGGAGCUUCCUUUUGAGGUAUUAUUUCAUUGUUUGAGCUGUUAUUAUCUAGAUUCAUCAUUUUGGGGGUGUUAGAGAUCAUAUCUUUUGGUGUUUUGGAGUUUAGAGGUUAGAUCUGAGGUUGCUACCUCAGAUCUGGAAUGGAGAAGGGUUGGAAUGCCUGAAAGUCCCUGUGUUUGAGUGUGUAGUGAAGCUAUCAUGUCCCAAACCCUAGCCCUAAAGUGGAAAAGGCCUAGAUCUCUUUGGAUUCACGUAAAGUUUGCCACUUUACGUGAUGGAUGAGUUGUAGGAGGCUAGAUCUAUGUUUUGGAUCAAUUGCAUGGCCUGGGAUGCUUCUGUAUGGAUUCAAACCGGUGGUACUCGGCGAGUCACAUGGGUGGACUCGACGAGUUGCUUGAAGAUGGGCUGGAACUCGACGAGUUGGAAGAACAACUCGGCGAGUUGGAUGAAGAUGGCCUGGAACUCGACGAGUUGGAAGAACAACUCGGCGAGUAGGUUGAAGAUAGCCUUAGACUCGACGAGUCUGUUCUUGGACUCGGCGAGUCUUGUCGAAGAGUCCCAAUCUUUUCUGGUUGAGCCGUGAAUCGGUGAGUCAAGGGGAUGACUCGGUGAGUUCUAUGUGAGUGGACUCAGAGUUGUUGAACUCGGCGAGUCUCGGGGUGACUCGGCGAGUUGAGUCGCGGAUUGGGGAAUUUCUGAGCAUGGGGACUCGGCGAGUCAUCGGGUUGACUCGGCGAGUAGAGUCAGUCAGGGGUUGACUUUGACCAAGGGUUGACCAGUGGUUUCCAGGGGCAUUUUGGUAAUUGUUGGAUAUUGUUUUGAGUUCAGUGCCUUGGUGGUUGUCCAGUGGUGGAGAUCGUAUCAGUGAUCGGAGCAGCUUGGGUUAUCUGUUCAGUCGGCAGUUUCGAGGUGAGUUAUCCUCACUAUAUCAACAGGGUCUAAGGCACCAAGGCCGGCCCUUAUCGGAUUGAGAUCCGGGUAUUUGUUGUUAUGUUAUUGCUUUGAUAUGUUGCAUCCUGGUAGCUAGGAUGGUAUGUGAUAGAGACCUGGUUGAGAUCGGUAUUCUGAGAUGUAGGGUGAUGCUAUUCUAGUGACCGGUUAGGUCGGUAUCCUGGUUAGGAUGAUGAUAUGUUAUGUGAUCUGUUUGAUCGGUUUGUUGACUAUGAAUUGUUAUACGAUUGUAUGUUUAUGUGCACAUGGUUGUUCGGACUGGAGUUGGGUUGAGGCGGGUCCUGCUUUGUGCUGUAGGCCAAGAUACCCAGGGCGAACCGGUUGACCCGAAGGCCCAGCGAGCGGUCCGGAUAGGCUGUAGGCCCCAAGAGGGCGGACCAGACAUGCCGAGACUCGGAGAGUGGACCAGGCCGACUGAAGGCCCGGUACGGGCGGACCAGUCAUAAAGUAGACUCAGAGAGUGAACCAGGUGGAUUGAAGGACCGGUGAGGGCGGACCAAUCACACUGUAGACUCGAGGUUUAUGGAUAGACUCAGAGGGUGGACCAGGUGGACUGUUAGCCGUUGCGGCGGACCAGUCACACAGUAGACCCGAAGUGCAUGGCUGUUCUGUGAUCGGAUAUGUUAUG